UAAACUCCCUACUAACUCAAGCUGUAAUGUAACGUAUGCUGAAAUCGAAUUACGAGUAGCAACAGUAAACACAAUGCAACAUUUUUGUAAGCACUACAGUGUUCAGGAGUCGGCAAAUUGAAAUAUUGUAGUAAAGUAUAGUUUUUAUAAGCAAGCCGUGUCUCAAUAUCAUGCUAUUUUAUCAAGUUGCUAAAAUUUUAAAAAGUAGCGAAUAGCGAUUCGCUGUUUGAAAAGUAGUCAACUAUUUGUUGUGUUGGUGUAAUGAACUCAGGUGAAUAAGAUGCUUGUGACGUUACUCUGAGUGUAUAUCCACAUCGGGCAAGCUUGAAAAAUAUGCCUGGCCACGGUGGGAAUCGAACCUACGACCUUUGGAAUACUAGCCCAAUGCUCUGCCAACUGAGCUACGCGUCAGGUCGGUUCGAGUAUGUAAUAUUUCGGAACUGAGUCUAGUUCCUUCAAUAUCAGUGUAAUCUAAUAACUACUUGGCUACUUUUAGGCAAAAUGUACUGAGUUCGCUAUAACUACAGCUACUGUUUUAAAAAAGUAGUCAAAAACUACUGGCUACUUGAAAAACUACUUCGUUACUGCCCACCCUUGCGUACUACACAUU